rnacentral:rRNA from 1 species
UACGGAGGGUGCAAGCGUUAUCCGGAUUCACUGGGUUUAAAGGGUGCGUAGGUGGGCAGUUAAGUCAGUGGUGAAAUCUCCGGGCUCAACCCGGAAACUGCCAUUGAUACUAUCUGUCUUGAAUAUCGUGGAGGUAAGCGGAAUAUGUCAUGUAGCGGUGAAAUGCUUAGAUAUGACAUAGAACACCAAUUGCGAAGGCAGCUCGCUACACGAAUAUUGACUCUGAGGCACGAAAGCGUGGGGAUCAAACAGG